UGUGUUAACCAGGUCAAUGAGUACCUCA
rnacentral:piRNA from 1 species